rnacentral:rRNA from 1 species
AUGAACGCUGGCGGCGUGCCUAAUACAUGCAAGUCGAGCGAACGGACGAGAAGCUUGCUUUUCUGAUGUUAGCGGCGGACGGGUGAGUAACACGUGGAUAACCUACCUAUAAGACUGGGAUAACUUCGGGAAACCGGAGCUAAUACCGGAUAAUAUUUUGAACCGCAUGGUUCAAAAGUGAAAGACGGUCUUGCUGUCACUUAUAGAUGGAUCCGCGCUGCAUUAGCUAGUUGGUAAGGUAACGGCUUACCAAGGCAACGAUGCAUGGCCGACCUGAGAGGGUGAUCGGCCACACUGGAACUGAGACACGGUCCAGACUCCUACGGGAGGCAGCAGUAGGGAAUCUUCCGCAAUGGGCGAAAGCCUGACGGAGCAACGCCGCGUGAGUGAUGAAGGUCUUCGGAUCGUAAAACUCUGUUAUUAGGGAAGAACAUAUGUGUAAGUAACUGUGCACAUCUUGACGGUACCUAAUCAGAAAGCCACGGCUAACUACGUG